GACGAACGCUGGCGGCGUGCUUAACACAUGCAAGUCGAACGGAAAGGCCCUGCUUUUGUGGGUGCUCGAGUGGGGAACGGGUGAGUAACACGUGAGUAACCUGCCCUUGACUUUGGGAUAACUUCAGGAAACUGGGGCUAAUACCGGAUAGGAGCUCCUGCUGCAUGGUGGGGGUUGGAAAGUUUCGGCGGUUGGGGAUGGACUCGCGGCUUAUCAGCUUGUUGGUGGGGUAGUGGCUUACCAAGGCUUUGACGGGUAGCCGGCCUGAGAGGGUGACCGGCCACAUUGGGACUGAGAUACGGCCCAGACUCCUACGGGAGGCAGCAGUGGGGAAUAUUGCACAAUGGGCGGAAGCCUGAUGCAGCAACGCCGCGUGCGGGAUGACGGCCUUCGGGUUGUAAACCGCUUUCGCCUGUGACGAAGCGUGAGUGACGGUAAUGGGUAAAGAAGCACCGGCUAACUACGUG
rnacentral:rRNA from 1 species